GACCUCGUGGCAGAAUGGCUAUGCAAUAGGCUGCAACCCUAUUUAUACCAGUUCAAGUCUGGUCGAGGCCU
rnacentral:tRNA from 1 species